AUGGCGCGCCGCGCCCCCCGCCCCCGCCGGACGCUGGAGCUGCCAGACGACGUCAUGGAGGAGAUCUUCCUCCGCCUACCGGCGGACAACCCCGCGAGCCUCGCCCGCAUCGCCGGCGGCUGCAAGAGCUGGCGGGCCAUGGUCUCGGACCCCAACUUCGCCCCCGCCUACCGCAGGCUCCGCGACGCGCCGCCCAUGCUGGGCUUCCUCUACAACUACCGCUCCACCGACGACGAGGGAGCGCCCUACUGGACGUCCCACUUCCGCGCCGCCGCGGCCCUCCCCCCGCGGGUGCGCCGCGACCGCAAGCACUGGCGCGCUCUCGACUCCCGCCACGGCCUCGUCCUCUUCGACACCCCUGAGGGUGACGGGCACCUCGUCGUCUCCGACCUCGUCACCGGCGAGCGCUGGAAAAUCGACGGCCACCUCACGUUCCCGGAUGCGUGUAAUGCUGCAGUGCUCUGCGCCAGGGACGGAUGUGACCACCGUGAUUGCCAUGGCGGCCCUUUCCUGGUGGCCUGCGUGGACUCCGUCGUGGCAGGGGACCGGAGGAUAGCCAGCGCCAUGGUCUACUCAUCAGUUACUGGCAAGUGGAUCGACCCGACCUUCCUCGAGCACCCGAAUGUCAUCGAUGGCAGGGGGCACAGUGCUGUGCUGGGAAAUAAGGUCUAUGUCCCCUGUGUGGAGAGUGGCAGUGUCGUGGAGUACAACACGCGUGAGAACAAGCUAUCUGUGAUCAAGGCGCCAUUUGAGGUCCAGCACCACAAGAUUGAGCUCAUGGGGGUGGAGGAUGGAAUGCUGCUGUUUGCGUCUGUGGUGAAGCCUAGGCUCUACCUAUGGUCGAUGGAGGCUGGUCCCAGAGGAGCUGCGGGACGGGCACGAAGCAGGUUCAUCGAGCUCGGGCCGUUGCUCCCUAGUACUGCCCUCGUGGACAACACCGAAGUGUCGGCGGUUGGUUUUGCGGAAGGUGUUGGUGUCAUCUUCAUCAAGACAAGGGUUGGGUUGUACACCAUUCAGCUCAAAUCAGAACAAAGCAAUCAGGUGCACAGAGGGUACAUCAAUAAGGUCAUGCCCUACGUGAGCUUCUACACUGAAGCAUGGGAGCCUUUGCCAGCAUCUGAUGAAGCUUAA
rnacentral:rRNA from 1 species